CAGCAGAACUGCAUGCUGAAGAGAAUUAAUAGCCACAGGAGAGCGGCAGCAGCAACUUGAAGGGCGGGAGCUUGGACCCAGGGGCCCUCCAGGAGCAGUGAGUCACUGAUUUGAACCUUUAAAAGUUAUUCAUGAGCGCAGGAGUCCUCCAUUUCUGCUUUUCAGCGGCAUCUGAACCUUAAAGACCAGGGACAUAUCAAGGGAUUCUGAGUCCAUGAAAUAAUACAAGAAUGGCUAACCGGCAGACUGAGUGAAUCUAGUGACCAACAAGUAGACCCUGUUACAGUGCAACAGACCGGGAGGCUCAGUUACUAUAAAGACAAUUGGAAAUUGUGGUUUUGAAGUUCAGCUUGAAGGAAUUAGCAGGGGGUGAGUCCAAUGCUCCGACUGGAGCCCAACUUCACCUCACUUGGACACAGAACUGGAAUCUUUCCUGGUCCCACAGUGGCAGCCAUGAGGACGGAAUUGGGAGACAUUCCUGAUGGUCGGUGGUCAAACUAAUGUAUUCCUGCUGCUGUAUGAUUUCCUUUGGGGGGCAAGUGGGAUUAGUUUAGCCAGAAACUUGGUUGGCAUGGAUGAGUUGGACCAAAGGGCUGCUUCCUUGUUGUAUGACUAUAUGAUUCCAUUAAUGGACCAGUACCUGACGAGGUUACCUGGCCCAGGAUUCGGGAGGUAGUAAAUCUGACAAAUUAAGUGCAGGAUCUUUGUAGCAGCAGACAGGCCGUGCCCAGAGUGUGCCUACAGGUAGUAAUAGAGUCAUACAGCCCAAUUUGCCCGUGCUUACCACAUUUCCUAAACUAAAUUAGUCCCAUUUGCCAGCGCUUGGCCUAUAUCCCACUAAACCUUAUCUGUGCACCUUACCAAGUGCCUUUUAAGGGGGAGAAAGAGAGGACCGCAGAUGCUGGAGGUCAGAGUCGAGAGUGUGGUGCUGGAAAAACACAGCAGGUCAGGCAGUAUCCGAGGAGCAGGAGAAUUGAUGUUUUGGGCAUGAGCUCUUCAUCAGAAACUCUUGACAAAUGCCUUUUAAAUGUGAUAAUUGUACCUGCCUCUACCACUUCCUCUGGCAGCAUCAUACACCCAUAUCCCUCUGCAUAAAAAUGUUGCCCCCCCCCCCUUAGGUCCAUUUUAAAUCUUUCUCCCUCUCACCUUAAACCUAUGCCCUCUAGUUUUGAACUCCCCCUAACCCGGGGAAAGACCUUGGCUAUUAACCUUAUCCACACCCCUCAGGAUUCUGUAAACCCCUCAGCCUCCUAUGCUCCAGGGAAAAUGUAGUCCAACCUAUCUAGCUUCUCCUUAUAACUCAAACCCUCGGUAACAUUCUCGUAAAUUCACACUUUCCAGUUUCGUGACGUCCUUCCUACAGUAGGGCGACCAGAAUUGUACGUAGUAUUCCAUCUCCUAUAGCACCUCCUAACUACCCCAGCCUCCCUUCCCUCUGUCCCCCUUCCAUCACAACUGCAGCCCAUCAGGAGGCACCAGAGGGCUGUGAGGCUAGUGUCCUGCAAAGGUGCUGGCUUUCUGAUUGGCCUUGGGCUCACUGGACAACCAUCCUCAACUGGACGAGAGGCCUGGAGUUGGGAACCUCUUGUGGGUGGCACGGUGGCACAGUGAUUAGCACUGCUGCCUCACAGCGCCAGAGACCCGGGUUCAAUUCCCACCUCAGGCGACUGACUGUGUGGAGUUUGCACAUUCUCCCCGUGUCUGCGUGGGUUUCCUCCAGGUGCUCCGGUUUCCUCCCACUGUCACAAAGAUGUGCGGGUCAGGUGAGUUGGCCAUGCUAAAUUGCCCAUAGUGUUAGGUAAGGGGCAAAUGUGGGGGUAUGGGUGGGUUGCGCUUCGGCAGGUCGGUGUGGACUUGUUGGGCCG